GACCGCGUAGCUCAGUUGGAAGAGCAUUGGGCUAGUAUUCCAAAGGUCGUAGGUUCGAAUCCCACCGUGGCUG